rnacentral:lncRNA from 1 species
UUUUAUAUAUAAUUUAAUAAAAUAUUAAGAAAAAAGCUGUCAAAAAGAUAAAAAUAAAAUCACAGAAGAGCAAAUUGAUACACUUUAAACCACAUAGUACUAAAAUGAGAAAGUGCGGAAUCACAAGGAGUUUUUGAAAUUUUUUCUUUUUUAAAUACAAACUUAAAUCUAAGGUUGGUUGCAUAAAAAAAUCUCAGAUAUUCUAUUUUUUACAAAAUUUUUUUUUCUAGAUUUUACAAAUUCCGUUUAGAUUUUUAGAAAUUCAACUAAAAUAUUCUUGUUCUUCUCU